rnacentral:rRNA from 1 species
CCUGCCAGUGACAACUUUAACGGCCGCGGUACCCUAACCGUGCGAAGGUAGCAUAAUCACUUGUUCUUUAAAUAGGGACUAGUAUCAACGGCAUCACGAGGGCUGUACUGUCUCCUUUCUCUAAUCAGUGAAACUGAUCUCCCCGUGAAGAAGCGGGGAUUAAACUAUAAGACGAGAAGACCCCAUGGAGCUUUAAGCAAUGUAUUCACCCCUGCACCUUUACAUCAACCAAACAUAAGAGACCUGAAUACUAGCUUUAGGUUGGGGGGACCACGGAGUAUAAUAUAACCUCCAUGACAAACGGGCUACGCCCUUAUCCACGAGCUACAACUCUAAGAAUCAAUAAACUGAUGUUUUAUGACCCGAUAAUUCGAUCAACGAACCAAGUUACCCUGGGGAUAACAGCGCAAUCUACUUCAAGAGCCCAUAUCGACAAGUAGGUUUACGACCUCGAUGUUGGAUCAGGGUAUCCCAGUGGUGCAGCCGCUACUAAUGGUUCGUUUGUUCAACGAUUAAAACCCUACGUGAUCUGAGUUC